rnacentral:rRNA from 1 species
AUGACCGUUCGUGACAAUGAUCUUGACCAGUAUGGAGUCGUUAACAACGCCAUUUAUGUUGCUUACAUCCACAAUGCUCGAGAGGAGCUAGCUGCGAGCAUUGGCUUCAGCAUGGCCUCCGUAGCACACACCGGCAACGCGAUGGCACUCUUGGAACUGAACCUCAAGUACUUCAAGCCUCUACUGGUAUGUGCAUGGCACAUCCGGAAUCUCUUCUUUUUGCGAGUGUCACAUCCGAAACCUCUAAGGCUCUCCUCACAGUAUUUGAAGAGGAAAACUCUGUCUCAAUGUGAGUCAUCUCCUGCCAACUCUCAUUUCUGGAAUGGUAUCAUGAGUGUUAAAGAUAUCUUUUACAACUGUUGUCAGAGAAUUGUUGGGGAUGGGCAUAAAACUAGAUUUUGGGAAGAUGCUUGGAUCCACAACAAGCCUCUCUGUCAACUUUUUCCUCGCUUGUACAAGCUUACUUUUCAUCAAAACAUUACGGUUGCUAAAGCAUUUGAACAGGAUUUUAACUGCGUUGGAUUUAGGAGAUGUUUAUAUGGGGAGACACUGGAUAUGUGGAAUAAGCUUCUGGAUAUGUGCAGUCAGGUUGUUCUGAGUGAGGAACCUGACAAAGUCAAAUGGCUUUUGACUAGCUCUGGCCAGUUCUCCGUUAAAUCUCUUUAUCAAUAUAUUAUUGCUAAGAGAGUAGUGUUCCCUUUUAAGUUUCUUUGGAACCUGAAGGUACCUUUGAAAAUUAAAGCUUUUAUAUGGUUAGUUAUCAAAAGAAGGAUCCUGACCAAGGACAACUUGUGUAAAAAAGGCUGGAAAGGCACCAACAAAUGUGAAUUUUGUGAUGCCAAUGAAUGUAUUGAUCAUCUGUUUUUCACUUGUUCUCUUGCUCGGUUUCUUUGGAAUGUAGUUGGGAGUGCUUUGGGAAAUCCCCAAACACCCCUGUCAUUCUUUGACCUUUGCCAGAAUUGGCUUCCUAAGUUCACUGGGAAAGAUAGAAUGGUUAUAGCUAUUGGUACGACUGCUUUGUUAUGGUCGAUCUGGAAAGCAAGAAAUAAAUCCUGCUUUCAAAGUUCUUUACCUAGGGAUCCUACUGAUAUUAUCUUCUCUUUAUGUUAUGUGUUGGAUUCGUGGGGUGUGCUACAGAAAAAAGGGGUGCAAAAAACUCUUAAGGAAGUGACCAAGAGGUUGGCCCAGAUAGCGAGGGACGUCUUCAAGCGUGCUUACGGGUGGGGCCCUGCUGUACGGAGGCUCUGUUGA